AACGAACGCUGGCGGCAGGCCUAACACAUGCAAGUCGAGCGGGGGAGCAAUCCCUAGCGGCGGACGGGUGAGUAACGCGUGGGAACGUACCCUUUGCUUCGGAAUAGCCCCGGGAAACUGGGAGUAAUACCGGAUGUGCCCUACGGGGGAAGAAUUUCGGCAAAGGAUCGGCCCGCGUUGGAUUAGGUAGUUGGUGGGGUAAUGGCCUACCAAGCCGACGAUCCAUAGCUGGUUUGAGAGGAUGAUCAGCCACACUGGGACUGAGACACGGCCCAGACUCCUACGGGAGGCAGCAGUGGGGAAUCUUAGACAAUGGGCGCAAGCCUGAUCUAGCCAUGCCGCGUGAGCGAUGAAGGCCUUAGGGUUGUAAAGCUCUUUCGUGGGGGGAAGAUAAUGACGGUACCCCAAGAAGAAGCCCCGGCUAACUCCGUGCCAGCAGCCGCGGUAAU
rnacentral:rRNA from 1 species